rnacentral:rRNA from 1 species
GAUGAACGCUGGCGGCGUGCCUAAUACAUGCAAGUCGAGCGAACGGACGAGAAGCUUGCUUCUCUGAUGUUAGCGGCGGACGGGUGAGUAACACGUGGAUAACCUACCUAUAAGACUGGGAUAACUUCGGGAAACCGGAGCUAAUACCGGAUAAUAUUUUGAACCGCAUGGUUCAAAAGUGAAAGACGGUCUUGCUGUCACUUAUAGAUGGAUCCGCGCUGCAUUAGCUAGUUGGUAAGGUAACGGCUUACCAAGGCAACGAUGCAUAGCCGACCUGAGAGGGUGAUCGGCCACACUGGAACUGAGACACGGUCCAGACUCCUACGGGAGGCAGCAGUAGGGAAUCUUCCGCAAUGGGCGAAAGCCUGACGGAGCAACGCCGCGUGAGUGAUGAAGGUCUUCGGAUCGUAAAACUCUGUUAUUAGGGAAGAACAUAUGUGUAAGUAACUGUGCACAUCUUGACGGUACCUAAUCAGAAAGCCACGGCUAACUACGUGCCAGCAGCCGCGGUAAUACGUAGGUGGCAAGCGUUAUCCGGAAUUAUUGGGCGUAAAGCGCGGGUAGGCGGUUUUUUAAGUCUGAUGUGAAAGCCCACGGCUCAACCGUGGAGGGUCAUUGGAAACUGGAAAACUUGAGUGCAGAAGAGGAAAGUGGAAUUCCAUGUGUAGCGGUGAAAUGCGCAGAGAUAUGGAGGAACACCAGUGGCGAAGGCGACUUUCUGGUCUGUAACUGACGCUGAUGUGCGAAAGCGUGGGGAUCAAACAGGAUUAGAUACCCUGGUAGUCCACGCCGUAAACGAUGAGUGCUAAGUGUUAGGGGGUUUCCGCCCCUUAGUGCUGCAGCUAACGCAUUACGCACUCCGCCUGGGGAGUACGACCGCAAGGUUGAAACUCAAAGGAAUUGACGGGGACCCGCACAAGCGGUGGAGCAUGUGGUUUAAUUCGAAGCAACGCGAAGAACCUUACCAAAUCUUGACAUCCUUUGACAACUCUAGAGAUAGAGCUUUCCCCUUCGGGGGACAAAGUGACAGGUGGUGCAUGGUUGUCGUCAGCUCGUGUCGUGAGAUGUUGGGUUAAGUCCCGCAACGAGCGCAACCCUUAAGCUUAGUUGCCAUCAUUAAGUUGGGCACUCUAAGUUGACUGCCGGUGACAAACCGGAGGAAGGUGGGGAUGACGUCAAAUCAUCAUGCCCCUUAUGAUUUGGGCUACACACGUGCUACAAUGGACAAUACAAAGGGCAGCGAAACCGCGAGGUCAAGCAAAUCCCAUAAAGUUGUUCUCAGUUCGGAUUGUAGUCUGCAACUCGACUACAUGAAGCUGGAAUCGCUAGUAAUCGUAGAUCAGCAUGCUACGGUGAAUACGUUCCCGGGUCU